GACGAACGCUGGCGGCGUGCUUAACACAUGCAAGUCGAACGGUGAAGGGACCGGUUUUUGCUGGUUCUGGAUGAGUGGCGAACGGGUGAGUAACACGUGAGUAACCUGCCCCCUUCUUCUGGAUAACCGCAUGAAAGUGUGGCUAAUACGGGAUAUUCUGCGCCUGCUGCAUGGUGGGUGUGGGAAAGAUAUUGUUUCGGUGGGGGAUGGGCUCGCGGCCUAUCAGCUUGUUGGUGGGGUGAUGGCCUACCAAGGCGGGGACGGGUAGCCGGCCUGAGAGGGUGGACGGUCACACUGGGACUGAGACACGGCCAAGACUCCUACGGGAGGCAGCAGUGGGGAAUAUUGCACAAUGGGCGCAAGCCUGAUGCAGCGACGCCGCGUGAGGGAUGGAGGCCUUCGGGUUGUAAACCUCUUUCGCCAGUGAAGCAGGCCUGUCCCUUUUGUGGGUGGGUUGACGGUAGCUGGAUAAGAAGCGCCGGCUAACUACGUG
rnacentral:rRNA from 1 species